rnacentral:rRNA from 1 species
GACGAACGCUGGCGGCGUGCUUAACACAUGCAAGUCGUACGGUAAGGCCCUUUCGGGGGUACACGAGUGGCGAACGGGUGAGUAACACGUGAGUAACCUGCCCACAACUUUGGGAUAACGCUAGGAAACUGGUGCUAAUACUGGAUAUGUGCCCCUGCUGCAUGGUGGGGGUUGGAAAGCUCCGGCGGUUGUGGAUGGACUCGCGGCCUAUCAGCUUGUUGGUGGGGUAGUGGCCUACCAAGGCGGCGACGGGUAGCCGGCCUGAGAGGGUGACCGGCCACAUUGGGACUGAGAUACGGCCCAGACGCCUACGGGAGGCAGCGGUGGGGAAUAUUGCACAAUGGGCGCAAGCCUGAUGCAGCAACGCCGCGUGCGGGAUGACGGCCUUCGGGUUGUAAACCGCUUUCAGCAGGGACGAAGCUUUUUGUGACGGUACCUGCAGAAGAAGCACCGGCUAACUACGUG